CUGGGCGGUGCCUCUGAGGGUGCAGGUGUAUUUUUGUGUGUGUCCUGGGACUUGGUCUUCGAGUCUCAAAGAGCCAUUUUUAUAUUCUUUAUGUUAGCUGUAUUGAUCAUUACAAUAAUCAUAUGUUAUAAAGUGGAUGAAAGUAGGGGAGGAAAAAUAUCCGAGGCCUCAUUUGGGGGAACGAAACCUCAGAAGAAUCCUUAGAGUUUGGUAAAAUGCUCGAGUGAACAGCUUUACUCUACAACAGUGCUUCUCAAAUUAUAUGUAGGGAAUGAUCAAAUUAUUUUUUUAAAUUUCCAGUUAGUUGUGAACCAUGCUUUGGUAAGGGAAAGUAAAAAUAUUGGAAAUAUUUUAUCAUUGGAGUCAACCGCCGUAAAAUGACCCGUAAAGGUUUCGAAACGUUCGUUCUCAAUUUCCGUGUUUGUUUCGUGGACCAGUAACAAACAGUAAUACGAAGGGCCCAGGUCUGUGGAUCACACUUUUGAAUAGCAAGACUGCUCUACAGCUUGAAGGAAAUAAGAUUACUUUGGAGAACAUCAUAAUCCCUCCAGGAAAUCAGCCCAGCAGUCAACUAUUUGGGCACUGAGGAAAGGCCUUGUGAACACAUAACAAGAAGGUGGCUGCCUGCAAACCAGGAAGAGAGGCCUCACCUGAAACCAAAUCAACCAGAAUCUUCAUGUUAGACUUCUAGCCUCCAGAUCCGUGAGAAGCAGAGGGACUCUCCCAAACCCAGCUCUGACCACGGCCAUCUCUUAGUUCAAGACCCCAAUAAUUUACAGGUAAAGUCUAAACUUUUUGGCAUUUUAAAACUUUUUCUGCCUUUAACUUGUGUACUCUCUCCUUCUUUUUCCUCUUGACAAACUCUUUGUCUUUUAAAACUCAUCUGAGACAUCGUAUUCCCCGUGAAGCUGCGCCGGUCUCCCCAGAGUGAGUUAGACCUUGCUUGCUUUGUGCCCCCACCCCUGAGUACCUAAGACUACUGAAGCUCUCAUCACACCACGUGGCAACCACUCAUAUGUCCGCUUCCUCCA